rnacentral:rRNA from 1 species
GGGGGUAAGCUUUCCGAAAUUUUGGGGAAAACGGGUUGGCGGGUUUUUAUUUCUUGUGGGAAGGCCCGCGGGUCAACCCGGGGGGGUCAUUGAAAUGGGAAACUAAAGUCUAAAAAGGAAAAGGGAAUUCCAUUUUACGGUGAAUGCGCAGAGAUUUGGGGAACACCAGUGGGGAGGGGGUUUUUUUGUUCUUUAAUAACGUAAUGUCAAAAGUGUGGGUUCAAACAGGAUUAGAUACCCCGGUAUUCCACCCCGUAAACAAUGAGGAAAAGUGUUGGGGGGUUUCCGCCCCUUAGUGCGCAAAUAACCCAUUAAGCMCUCCCCCGGGGGAGUACGCCCCCAAGGUUGAAAUUCAAAGGAAUUAACGGGGGCCCCCCCAAGGGGGGGAGCAUGGGGUUUAAUUCGAAGAAACGCGAAGACCCUUCCCAAAUUUUGACAUCCUUUGAAAACUUUAGAAAAAAACCUUUCCCUUUCGGGGGAAAAAGUGCAGGGGGGGCAUGGUUUUUUUCAGCUCGUUUCGGGAAAUUUUGGGUUAAUUCCCGCAACGAGCCCAACCCUUAAGUUUAGUUCCCAUCAUUAAGUUGGCCAUUUUAAGUUGACUCCCGGGGACAAACCGGAGGAAGGUGGGGAUGACGUCAAAUCAUCAUGCCCCUUAUGAUUUGGGUUACCCACGUGUUACAAUGGACAAUACAAAGGGCAGUAAAACCGGGAGGUCAAGCAAAUCCCAUAAAGUUUUUUUCAUUUCGGAUUGUAGUUUGCAAUUGGACUACAUGAAGCGGGAAUCGUUAGUAAUGGUAGAUCAGCAUGUUCCGGUGAAUACGUUCCCGGGUCUUUACACCCCCCCCGUCCCCCCCCGAGAUUUUGAACCCCCGAAGCGGGGGAGUAACCUUUUUGGAGCUAGCCGUUGAAAU